CAGAGAAGAGAAGCUCCUGGGAGAAGAGGACCAGAGGGGCGGAGGGAAGAGAGGAAACUGGCUCCCUCUGCCCUUCGGGGCUCCUCCUUCCAGGAAUUUCUCGCCUCCGCCUCCUCCGGCCUCACUACCCUGAGGGUUCGGGUCGGGAAGUCUGCCCUUCUCCGUCCUGGAGGCUCACUGCCUCCGACUGCCUGCCUCCCACCGAGUAACAAGUCUGCCCUGAAGCCGAGCGCACGGGAGCCCCGGCUGCCCCCUUGGGGUAGAGAAUGGAAGAUGCCGAGAGCAUCCGAGGCGGCGUUUUCGGUUUUGUUUUGUUUUGUUGGUUUUUUGUUUUAUAAUUCCACUACAAAUGCAAAUAAAUUAUGAACGAAUGCCUCGAUAGGUUAAUAGGACACCAGUGUUUAACGUUUCUUAGGAGUCAGCCAUGAGGCUGAGUAGUUCUCCACAUUUUCCUUAUUCAUUCAUCUGCGCUUGGGCCUACAGGGCCACUUCCAUGACUUAGCUAUUGUGCAUGGUGGUGCUGCUAUAAACACAGCAGUGUGUGUGGGUGCAGUGCCAGCCUGAAGACGACACACUUCCAGAAACAUCCAUCUAGCAGGUGUUGAGGGAGACACAGGCCCAGGAGUAUCUUCAAAGCUCAACGUGAAACUGGAACAGAAUACAAAGACAGCUUCAAGGACGGAAGUGGUGGCAC